AUUGAACGCUGGCGGCAGGCCUAACACAUGAAAGUCGAACGAAUUGCGGACGUAUGAGAAAUGUCUGGGAACAUGCCUGAUGGAGAGGGAUAACUACUGGAAACUAUAACUAAAACCGCCUACCAUGGGAUAUGCCCAACUGGGAUUAGCUAGUAGGGGGGGUAACGGCUCACCUAGGCGACGAUCCCUAGCUGGUCUGAGAGGAUGACCAGCAACACUGGAACUGAGACACGGUCCAGACUCCUACGGGAGGCAGAAGUGGGGAAUAUUGCACAAUGGGCGCAAGCCUGAUGCAGCCAUGCCGCGUGUAUGAAGAAGGCCUUCGGGUUGUAAAGUACUUUCAGUGGGGAGGCGUUACCCGCAGAAGAAGCACCGGCUAACUCCGUGCCAGCAGCCGCGGUAAUUC
rnacentral:rRNA from 1 species